GACAGAGGGUGCAAACGUUGUUCGGAAUUACUGGGCAUAAAGCGCACGUAGGUGGUCCGCUAAGUCGCGUGUGAAAUCCCCGGCUCAACCGGGGAAAUGCGCGUGAUACUGGCGGGCUUGAGAUCGGGAGGGUGAAUGGAACUCCAGGUGGAGCGGUGAAAUGCGUAGAUAUCUGGAGGAACACCGGUGGCGAAAGCGGUUCACUGGCCCGACACUGACACUGAGGUGCGAAAGCUAGGGUAGCAAACGGG
rnacentral:rRNA from 1 species